CUUUGGGGCUUGGUUGUCGCUCCGAGUUCUUUGAUCCCAAGGUGCGGGUAACGCCGCGCCCGAUGAUAUUCGGAGAGGAAAGUCCGGACACCGCAGGGCAGGAUGCUGCGCCAGCUGCAAGGCGAGCGCAGGCGCCACGGGUCAAGCCGUGGCGAUGGACAGUGUCACAGAAAACAGACCGCCCGGAGCGGUCCGCCGCGAGGCGGGCCGGGCCGGGUAAGGGUGAAAAGGUGGGGUAAGAGCCCACCGCGUCGGCCGCGAGGCCGGCGGCAUGAAAAACCCCAUCCGGUGCAAGGCAAAAUAGGUGGCUGGGCGGCCCGUCCCAUAGCCACGGGUAUGCCGCAUCCGCCGGCGAAACGCGCAAGCGGGCCGACGGCGGGCGGGGUCAUCGCAAGGUGGCCCUGAGAGAAAUGACAGCCAAAGCGCCGCAAGGCGUGGAACAGAAUCCGGCUUACCGGCCCCAAAGCUAA
rnacentral:RNase_P_RNA from 1 species